GGCGUUGCCCAGACAACUAGGAUGUUGGCUUAGAAGCAGCCAUCAUUUAAAGAGUGCGUAAUAGCUCACUAGUCGAGUGACACUGCGCCGAAAAUGUACCGGGGCUAAACAUAUUACCGAAGCUGUGGAUUGUCCUUUGGACAAUGGUAGGAGAGCGUUCUAAGGGCGUUGAAGCAUGAUCGUAAGGACAUGGGGAGCGCUUAGAAGUGAGAAUGCCGGUGUGAGUAGCGA
rnacentral:rRNA from 1 species